rnacentral:rRNA from 1 species
AUACGGAGGGUGCAAGCGUUAUCCGGAAUCAUUGGGUUUAAAGGGUCCGCAGGCGGAUUAAUAAGUCAGUGGUGAAAUCCUCUCGCGCAACGAGAGAACUGCCAUUGAAACUGUUAGUCUUGAAUUCGGUCGAAGUAGGCGGAAUGUGUCAUGUAGCGGUGAAAUGCAUAGAUAUGACACAGAACACCGAUAGCGAAGGCAGCUUACUAGACCUGGAUUGACGCUCAUGGACGAAAGCGUGGGGAGCGAACAGGAUUAGAUACCCUAGUAGUCC